UACGAAGGGGGCUAGCGUUGCUCGGAAUCACUGGGCGUAAAGCGCACGUAGGCGGAUUGUUAAGUCAGGGGUGAAAUCCUGGAGCUCAACUCCAGAACUGCCUUUGAUACUGACGAUCUCGAGUCCGGGAGAGGUGAGUGGAACUGCGAGUGUAGAGGUGAAAUUCGUAGAUAUUCGCAAGAACACCAGUGGCGAAGGCGGCUCACUGGCCCGGUACUGACGCUGAGGUGCGAAAGCCAGGGGAGCAAACGGG
rnacentral:rRNA from 1 species